CUCCUCUUCGCUGUUAUGUCAGUGGCAGUUUCUACCUCUUCCUCAAGUCUUUCUUCCUCCAGUUUGGAUUUCCAGACCUCAACACCUUCCAGUCUCUGAUCCCUGUGGACAGGAGGCCUGAGCUGCUGGGCUCCAUCUCUACAGCCGAGCUGAGCGAGUUCCUGAACACACCUCAGACGCUCGGAGACGGGUCGGGACUCUGCCAUCUGCUCAGCCAGUACAACCAGAUCGCACGCUAUCUGGAGACGGAGCCGCUGGGAUCCGUGGGUUUGGCCCAGCAGGUGUUGUCCUGUGUCUGGCCUGGAGUUCUGAAGCUGGAGAUCCAGUCUGAGGUGGAUCAGUGGUUUGACCAUCGACUCGGGCGAUACCUGCCUCUGCUCAGCUCACAGCUCAUCAGCCCCGCACAACUCAGCAGCGCCGCCUGUCUGCCCUACAGGAAACUUGUUUCAGUUCUCGGAAACAACUACAACUUCUCCAGAACGGACUUCACCCCAGAGGAUGUUUACAGCUCCAUGAAGGUGUAUCUCACA